GUUCUUAAUUGGAUGCUUCAAAGCUUGUCUUCAAUUUUAAUAAAUUUGCUUGCUGUGCAGGUUCAAGAAGGACCAGGUGAUUAUAGUCACAGUAAUGUCAAAGUCUUGAAGCUUUAUUUUAAGGGUGACCAUCUUCCUCCAAGUGCCAGUUCUGGUUUCAUCUCGUUGGCAGACAUGACUUUUAGAGUCUGCUGCAGAACUGUAUUUAUUUUGACAGCCUUUCUCCGUCUCCUUCCUUAGAAUCAGAAGCAUGAUUACAAACCAGAUGAGGAGUAUGCAGAGGUAGAAUCCAGAUUUCGUUCACAUUUGGAAUCUUUUCUAGAAACUACAAGAUCAUUCAAUAUGAUUUACACCGAGGUCUGACAUGCUUUUCCUUAAUAUGUUGCCUUUUGACAUUCAGCUGUUUUUGUUUUUCUUGUUAUCUCUUACUAUAUGCUGUACCAAACUGAAGGAUUAUGGCAUAGUUGUUACUUAGAAUUUGUAUAUUUUCUUCCAUGAUGUUGAACUUUAUACUCUUUAGUGGACUCCAUAUGCACAUAGUAUGUAUAAGAAAAUUGCUUUUGCUUCUUUCUGCUCCAUGCUAGUUGUGUUCUCUUUACUGAUGGGAGAGUUAUCAAGUGGAUACCUCCAUUGAUUUGAGCAAGCACCAUGUUUCCAAGAUGUUUCAGGACAAAGUUGCGUUCAGGACUGUCUAAUUUCUUCAAGUUCUAGCAGAUCUUUACUUGAAGAUGAGGACCGAGUUCUAGCAACUGUGAGGGAUCAGAAGUUGGGAUUUUGUUGAAACAGAAGAAAGGAAAAGAAGAAGAGGAGGGAGACGGGAAUAAGUUGAUGCUCGAUUUGAACAAAAAUUGAGUAAACUGAUCAUCCCAGGUACUCUGUGCAAUAGUCAUAAGUCUGAACGAUUAAAGAGAGCCAAAUCUGAGAAAUCAUCACUUAUGGAACUAGUUCCUAUAUUUAACUUGUGUCUAGUAGAAAUUCUUCCUUCAUUAAGAAUGUGGACUUGUUUGCAGAUUCAAAUUAGUAGAUAUGGGUCAUUUUGAACUGAUGCUCAUGAUUAGGUUUGUGUACAUGAGACAAUGAUGGAUUAGUGGAAAUUGCAAUGAAUGCUUUUGGAUGUGGA